rnacentral:rRNA from 1 species
GAUUAUGGCUCAGGAUGAACGCUGGCGGCGUGCCUAACACAUGCAAGUCGAGCGGAGAUAGUUGAAGCCUAGCGAUGACUAUCUUAGCGGCGGAUGGGUGAGUAACACGUGGGUAACCUGCCCUGUACUGGGGAAUAACAGCUGGAAACGGCUGUUAAUGCCGCAUAUGCGCACGGAGCCGCAUGGCCCUGGGCGGAAAGAUUUAUCGGUACAGGAUGGGCCCGCGCCGGAUUAACUAGUUGGCGGGGUAACGGCCCACCAAGGUGAUGAUCCGUAGCCGACCUGAGAGGGUGACCGGCCACAUUGGGACUGAGACACGGCCCAAACUCCUACGGGAGGCAGCAGUGGGGGAUAUUGCACAAUGGGGGAAACCCUGAUGCAGCGACGCCGCGUGAAGGAUGACGUAUUUCGGUAUGUAAACUUCUAUCAGCGGGGAAGAAGAUGACGGUACCCGACUAAGAAGCCCCGGCUAACUACGUGCCAGCCGCCGC